CCGGUUUGGGCCUGUGUGACUGGUUACGGGGGCCGGCGGGAAAGCAGGCUAAGAUCCUAAGGCUGGUUCUAGUCUCCCCCGCUCUUUUGGAACUCUCUUCGCUUUAGAUCUUGUUUUCUUUCUGUUCUGGAAGGAAAAUGAGGUUUCUGAGAGUUUGUUAAAACUUCACGUCAUGUGGAAAGCGAACAACGAAAGGUGUAGGGCAUGGAAAUGCAAUCUUGGUGGGCACUGGAAGGACAAAGGUUUUCCUGCACACGUAGUGUUUCUCUCCCUACCCGAUCCCUCCAGAACUUGGCAUUCUGAAGGUGGCAUAAAGUUUUUUUGCACAAAACCAGUAAGACCCGUUUCCCAUGGUGGUUUUCUUAACCAAGUCUUGACCGGAACACCAUGCCCGAAGCAGGCAGGCCUGGACUCGGGUGCUUCCCGUAAGGCCUUGAGGAGCCGAGGUGGUUCCUUGUGUGAGUCCCAGCAAAGCAGACUUAACGCUCCUGUGGGGUCAGCUGUUGCUCUUGCUGCGUUUAUGCAGACAAACAGGCAAAAAUGAAAACCGGACGUAAUGCAGUCCCUUUGGGGCCAGGGAGGGUGACCUUCAGGAGAGAAAUGGUGCUGGAACAAAAAUCACAGGGCUCAGGGGUGGGCACUGGUCUAGUGCAGCUGUCUUCAAAGUUUUGUUUCCACUUGGAGGUUUGUGGAAACUGGGCUUGUGGCAUUACCAGAGAUGUUCAACUUACAGCAAGAAGGGUUUGUCAGGCUGCCAUUGUUGGAUGUCAUUCCAGCAAACGGCUUCAACUGGAUGUCUGCUCGAAAAUAAGUCUCAAGGACUCAGAGACUGGUUUGCGAUUUGUGGCAUAAACUAACCUGUGUGUUCUCACUUGUGUUUUCAUAGGGCACAUGCCUGGGACGUUACCUGGUGGCUGUUUCCACAACAGAGGCCUCACUGGAAGCCCCUCCUUGCAUCACCGUCUCCUGAGUCUCGACGGCCUGGCUGGACUAAGAGGUUGGGUCGGUGAGUAUGGGGAGGGUGCCAGCUUGCCCAGCAGUCUCAUCCUCUGGACAUUGCACAUGCCAUCUCCCAGGGACAGCCAACCGACCUGGACUUUGCGAGAUCCUUCUCUCCUGUGUGAAGGCCUCCCUCCACUCCAUACCCCCUUUCUGAUGGGGGUCUCUGGACCAGGGGGUGGGUGGGACUAUGUCCAUGGCCAGUUGGAAGUAGCGGAAGAAGAAUGAGACCUCCACC